rnacentral:rRNA from 1 species
GGAGGUGGCAAGCGUUGUCGGAAUUACUGGGCGUAAAGGGCGCGUAGGCGGCAAGGCAAGUCAGGUGUGAAAGCCCCGGGCUUAACCCGGGAAUUGCAUCUGAAACUGCUGUGCUUGAGUUCUGGAGGGGGUAGUGGAAUUCCCAGUGUAGCGGUGAAAUGCGUAGAUAUUGGGAGGAACACCUGCGGCGAAGGCGGCUACCUGGACAGAAACUGACGCUGAGGCGCGAAAGCUAGGGGAGCGAACGGGAUUAGAUACCCCGGUAGUCCUAGCUGUAAACGAUGGGCACUUGGUGUUGGGGGGUAUUGAGUCCCCCAGUGCCGGAGUUAACACGUUAAGUGCCCCGCCUGGGGGAGUACGGUCGCAAGACUG